rnacentral:rRNA from 1 species
CCUACGGGAGGCAGCAGUGGGGAAUAUUGCACAAUGGGCGCAAGCCUGAUGCAGCGACGCCGCGUGAGGGAUGAAGGCCUUCGGGUUGUAAACCUCUUUCAGUAGGGAAGAAGCCGGCUUUUUGGGUUGGUGACGGUACCUGCAGAAGAAGCGCCGGCUAACUACGUGCCAGCAGCCGCGGUAAUACGUAGGGCGCAAGCGUUAUCCGGAAUUAUUGGGCGUAAAGAGCUCGUAGGCGGUUUGUCGCGUCUGCCGUGAAAGUCCGGGGCUUAACUCCGGAUCUGCGGUGGGUACGGGCAGACUAGAGUGCAGUAGGGGAGACUGGAAUUCCUGGUGUAGCGGUGAAAUGCGCAGAUAUCAGGAGGAACACCGAUGGCGAAGGCAGGUCUCUGGGCUGUAACUGACGCUGAGGAGCGAAAGCAUGGGGAGCGAACAGGAUUAGAUACCCUGGUAGUCCAUGCCGUAAACGUUGGGCACUAGGUGUGGGGGACAUUCCACGUUUUCCGCGCCGUAGCUAACGCAUUAAGUGCCCCGCCUGGGGAGUACGGCCGCAAGGCUAAAACUCAAAGGAAUUGACGGGGGCCCGCACAAGCGGCGGAGCAUGCGGAUUAAUUCGAUGCAACGCGAAGAACCUUAC